CUUCCUUUAUUUCAUUCUAUAGUCGUAUGCACUCUUCAGUUAAUCUCAAAGUGCCUAAUUAAAAUCUACAAAAUCCUCCCUAUCAGUUUGCUAUUUGAGAGGAGCGAAGCAGUGUCAAGGUUUGUAAAUGGGAUCCUUGUAAAAUGGCUAUUACAAGGAGUUGUGAAUGGAAAUCACGAUCCAAAGCAGGCGAAGCAUUUGAAAGUGAAGAAGGCCGAAAGUCACAAACGGAGUUCGUGAAGAAACCCCCAAAACUGCGAUUGAAACGCGAAAACCCAAAUUGAAGGAGGUAAGUUAAUUUUGUUUCCUUUGAGAUUAUGGGUAAUUCACUUUUCAAAUUUAUUAGGUGAGUACGUACAACUAACUAUAAAUUUGGUUGGAAAAUUUUCCAAUUCAAGAAAUACGGUUUAUAUUGCUAAAUAUUAUGCAUAUCUAUUACCGUCUGAAAAAUAGUGUUUCAUGUUCGUCUGUGACCUAUUAAUAUGAUCCUUGUGACCAAUAUGUUUUGUGACUAUAAUGGUGGGUGUGUCCAAUUUGGAUUGUUACCCGAUUACAUGGAAAAUAAUGUUUCAUUUUUUUACUUGGGUUUUGUGAGUAAUCAACAGAGAUGAAAAAUUAGACAAUCUUUCAUGGUGGGUCCUAAUCAACUACAUUGAGUGCUGUUAAUUUCAAAUGUAUGGAAUAUGUAUUGUGACCAACAAUAUGAACAAUAUAGAAUGUAUGGAAUGUGUAGUGUGUUUCAUUUUCGUUUGUGACCUAUUAAUAUGUUCCUUGUGACCAUUAUGUUCUGUGACUAUAAUGGUGGGUGUGUCCAAUAUGGAUUGUUACCCGGUUUCAUGGAAAAUAGUGUUUUCAUUUUUUUCAUCUGGGUUGUAUGAGUAAUCAACAGAGAUGAAAAAUUAAGCAAUCUUUCAUGGUGGGUCCUAAUCAACUAUAUUGAGUGCUGUUAAUUUUUCAGAUUUUACUUCAUAUUUUAUUUAAUGUGAUGCAGGAAUGGAAAUAUAUGAAAUCCAUGCCGAUGACGUUUGAUGCUAGUUGAGCUAGGAUGGACAUUGCCCAAUUACUCUUUAAACAAAAGGAAAUCAAGAAGCCGACAAAGCCGAUGAAGCCAAAGGGAGAGAGCAUUCAAAUAUAUUGAUUGUGGAAUCCCAGUUUAGUGACUAGUAGAUGUGCGAUGUUUAUGAAUGUUGGAAACAUGAUGCAUGAAUAUUUUGAAUCAUUUAUGUUCAUGAAAUAGACUGGAA
rnacentral:lncRNA from 1 species